rnacentral:rRNA from 1 species
GACAGAGGGUGCGAACGUUGUUCGGAAUUACUGGGCGUAAAGCGCGUGUAGGCGGCAAUGCAAGUCGGGCGUGAAAUCCCACGGCUCAACCCGUGGAAGUGCACUCGAAACUGCAUAGCUAGAGCCUGGAGAGGAAGGUGGAAUGCUUGGUGUAGAGGUGAAAUUCGUAGAUAUCAGGAGGAACACCAGUGGCGAAGGCGGCUUUCUGGACGGUAACUGACGCUGAGACGCGAAAGCGUGGGGAGCGAACAGG